CUACGGGUGGCUGCAGUGGGGAAUAUUGCACAAUGGAGGAAACUCUGAUGCAGCAACGCCGCGUGGAGGAUGACACUUUUCGGAGCGUAAACUCCUUUUAUAUAGGAAGAAGAUGACGGUACUAUAUGAAUAAGCGCCGGCUAACUCCGUGCCAGCAGCCGCGGUAAUACGGAGGGCGCAAGCGUUACUCGGAAUCACUGGGCGUAAAGAGGGUGUAGGCGGAUUAAAAAGUCAGAAGUGAAAUCCUAUAGCUUAACUAUAGAACUGCCUCUGAAACUCUUAAUCUAGAAUAUGGGAGAGGUAGAUGGAAUUUCUGGUGUAGGGGUAAAAUCCGUAGAGAUCAGAAGGAAUACCGAUUGCGAAGGCGAUCUACUAGAACAUUAUUGACGCUGAGACGCGAAAGCGUGGGGAGCAAACAGGAUUAGAUACCCUGGUAGUC
rnacentral:rRNA from 1 species